rnacentral:rRNA from 1 species
AGCGAACGCUGGCGGCAUGCCUAACACAUGCAAGUCGAACGGCAGCUUCGUGAGUGGUUGCUCUUACGGGUGUCGAGUGGGGGACGGGGCAGGUAUACACCGGAUUCUACCCUUUCGGGGGGGCUAAUGCAGGGAAACUUACUCUAAUACCGCAUACAACCCCCGGGUGUAAGCAGGGGAUCUUUAGACCGUUCGCGAUUGGAUGGGCCGAUGACGGAUUAGCUAGUUGGCAGGGUAAAGGCCUACCAAGGCGACGAUCCGUAGCUGGGCUGAGAGGAUGAUCCGCCACACUUGGACUGAGACACGGCCCAGAAUCCUACGGGAGGCAGCAGUGGGGAAUAUUGGACAAUGGGCGAAAGCAUGAUCCAGCAAUGCCGCGUGAGUGAUGAAGGCGGUAGGGUAGUAAAGCUCGUUUACCCGGGAUGAUAAUGACAGUACCGGGAGAAUAAGCUCCGGCUAACUCCGUG